rnacentral:miRNA from 1 species
UCUUCCCUAAACCUCCCAAACC